rnacentral:rRNA from 1 species
UACAGAGGGUGCAAGCGUUACUCGGAAUUACUGGGCGUAAAGCGUGCGUAGACGGUUACAUAAGUCAGAUGUGAAAGCCCCGGGCUCAACCUGGGAAUUGCAUUUGAGACUGCGUAGCUAGGGUGCGGAAGAGGGAAGCGGAAUUUCCGGUGUAGCGGUGAAAUGCGUAGAUAUCGGAAGGAACACCAGUGGCGAAGGCGGCUCACUGGACUGGUACUGACGCUGAUGCGCGAAAGCGUGGGGAGCAAACAGG